rnacentral:rRNA from 1 species
CCAGACUCCUACGGGAGGCAGCAGUGAGGAAUAUUGGUCAAUGGGCGAGAGCCUGAACCAGCCAAGUCGCGUGAGGGAUGACGGCCCUACGGGUUGUAAACCUCUUUUGUCGGGGAGCAAAGAGAGUCACGUGUGGCUCAUUGAGAGUACCCGAAGAAAAAGCAUCGGCUAACUCCGUGCCAGCAGCCGCGGUAAUACGGAGGAUGCGAGCGUUAUCCGGAUUUAUUGGGUUUAAAGGGUGCGUAGGCGGGAUGCCAAGUCAGCGGUAAAAAUGCGGUGCUCAACGCCGUCGAGCCGUUGAAACUGGCGUUCUUGAGUGGGCGAGAAGUAUGCGGAAUGCGUGGUGUAGCGGUGAAAUGCAUAGAUAUCACGCAGAACUCCGAUUGCGAAGACAGCAUACCGGCGCCCUACUGACGCUGAGGCACGAAAGCGUGGGUAUCGAACAGGAUUAGAUACCCGAGUACA